ACAUGCCUAUAUCAUAACAUUAAUGCACCAUAUCCCAUUAGAACUCUAUAGUUAAGCACACUCAGGCUAGAGUAGUACUAGGAUGGGUGACAACGUGGGAAGUCCUAGUGUUUUACAUGCC
rnacentral:rRNA from 1 species